UUUUUAUGAGAGUUUGAUCCUGGCUCAGGACGAACGCUGGCGGCGUGCCUAAUACAUGCAAGUCGAACGCUUCUUUUUCCACCGGAGCUUGCUCCACCGGAAAAAGAGGAGUGGCGAACGGGUGA
rnacentral:rRNA from 1 species